UACAGAGGUCUCAAGCGUUGUUCGGAUUCAUUGGGCGUAAAGGGUGCGUAGGUGGUGCCGUAAGUCGGGUGUGAAAUCUCGGGGCUCAACCCCGAAACUGCAUUUGAUACUGCGGUGCUCGAGGACUGGAGAGGAGAUCGGAAUUCAUGGUGUAGCAGUGAAAUGCGUAGAUAUCAUGAGGAAGACCAGUGGCGAAGGCGGGUCUCUGGACAGUUCCUGACACUGAGGCACGAAGGCCAGGGGAGCAAACGGG
rnacentral:rRNA from 1 species